GGCCGACUAGCUCAGUUGGUUAGAGCGUGGUGCUAAUACCUUCGCGGUACGCCAAGGUCGUCGGUUCGACCCCGGCGUUGGCCA
rfam:Postia placenta Mad-698-R POSPLscaffold_169_Cont6329, whole genome shotgun sequence.